rnacentral:rRNA from 1 species
UACGUAGGGGGCAAGCGUUGUCCGGAAUCAUUGGGCGUAAAGAGCGCGUAGGCGGUCCGGUAAGUCCGCUGUAAAAGUCCAGGGCUCAACCCUGGAAUGCCGGUGGAUACUGUCGGGCUCGAAUCCGGAAGAGGUGAGUGGAAUUCCUGGUGUAGCGGUGAAAUGCGCAGAUAUCAGGAGGAACACCAAUGGCGAAGGCAGCUCACUGGGACGGUAUUGACGCUGAGACGCGAAAGCGUGGGGAGCAAACAGG